rnacentral:tRNA from 1 species
GGUGGGGUAGCUCAGUUGGUUAGAGCAACGGAAUCAUAAUCCGUAGGUCGCCGGUUCAAGUCCGGCCCUCACUACCA